AACGCACAUUGCGCCCUCUGGUAUUCCGGGGGGCAUGCCUGUCCGAGCGUCAUUGCAACCCUCAAGCCCGGCUUGUGUGAUGGGCCUUCUUGUCCCUAUCUUUCAGGGACAGGCCCCAAAGGCAGUGGCGGCGUCACGACGCAGGUGCCUGAGUGAAUGGGAUCAAACUAUUCCGCUCGAGAGGCCCGGUCGGCGCCGGUCAGCUAAUAUCUUAAUCGGUUGACCUCGGAUCAGGUAGGAGUACCCGCUGAACUUAA
rnacentral:misc_RNA from 1 species